GACGAACGCUGGCGGCGUGCUUAACACAUGCAAGUCGAGCGGAAAGGCCCUUUCGGGGGUACUCGAGCGGCGAACGGGUGAGUAACACGUGAGUAAUCUGCCCCGUACUUCGGGAUAGCCACCGGAAACGGUGAUUAAUACCGGAUAUGACCUGCCUUCGCAUGUUGGUGGGUGGAAAGUUUUUUCGGUACGGGAUGUGCUCGCGGCCUAUCAGCUUGAUGGUGAGGUAAUGGCUCACCAUGGCUUCGACGGGUAGCCGGCCUGAGAGGGUGACCGGUCACACUGGGACUGAGACACGGCCCAGACUCCUACGGGAGGCAGCAGUGGGGAAUAUUGGACAAUGGGCGGAAGCCUGAUCCAGCAACGCCGCGUGAGGGAUGACGGCCUUCGGGUUGUAAACCUCUUUCGCCUGUGACGAAGCGCAAGUGACGGUAACAGGUAAAGAAGCACCGGCCAACUACGUG
rnacentral:rRNA from 1 species